UCGCUNUNUGUCAAACUAAAAUAGAGAGUNGUGCCUGCCCAGUGAUUUAUUAAACGGCCGCAGUACCCUGACUGUGCUAAGGUAGCAUAAUCACUUGCUUUUUAAUUGAAAGCUAGAAUGAAUGGCUUGACGAAAACUUUACUGUCUCUUUUAUAAUAACUAGAAACUACUUUUUAGGUGAAGAAGCCUAAAUAAACUCAAAAGACGAAAAGACCCUGUCGAGCUUCAAAAAAAAGUUAAAUUAAAGUUACAGAAAAAAAAAAUUAAAACUAAUUUUUUGUUGGGGCGACAAAAGAACAAAUAAAGCUUCUUUUAAUUUUAUUAAUUAAUAAAUUUUCAUGAACCAGAAUUUUUGAACAGAAGAAAAGUUACCGCAGGGAUAACAGCGUAAUUUCUUUGGAGAGCUCAAAUUGAAAAAGAAGUUUGCGACCUCGAUGUUGGAUUAGAAAAUCUUCUUAGUGCAGCAGCUAAGACAGCGGGUCUGUUCNACCCUUAAAAUUCUACAU
rnacentral:rRNA from 1 species